rnacentral:rRNA from 1 species
UACGGGGGGGGCAAGCGUUGUUCGGAAUUACUGGGCGUAAAGGGCUCGUAGGUGGCCAACUAAGUCGGACGUGAAAUCCCUCGGCUUAACCGGGGAACUGCGUCCGAUACUGGUUGGCUUGAGUUUGGGAGAGGGAUGCGGAAUUCCAGGUGUAGCGGUGAAAUGCGUAGAUAUCUGGAGGAACACCGGUGGCGAAGGCGGCAUCCUGGACCAAUACGGACGCUGAGGAGCGAAAGCCAGGGAGCAAACGGG